AGUUAGCUGACGAGUCCCAAAUAGGACGAAAUGCGCGUUAUCCUGCAGGAU
rnacentral:hammerhead_ribozyme from 1 species